AUAAGAGCUGUUGAAGGAGUC
rnacentral:miRNA from 1 species